rnacentral:lncRNA from 1 species
AAUGAGGUAUGGGGAAAGAGGAUUCAACAGAGUCACAGAGAGAUACAGAGACAGAUACUGGGAUCAAGAUAGAAGCUUGGACAAGCAGAAAGAACCCCAGGCUUUGGUUCCUCCACUGACUGACUGGCUGAGGGACUUACAUGGCCUUAAAUCACAGUCUCUCUGAAAUGUAGUUCCUAAAAAUGAGGCCUACUUUGGGGACUUGUGACACUUAUUAAAUUUUCCAGUCCUUCCAGGUUUCUUACCCUUCGCUCUUUUGUUUGCUUUUUGGUUUGGUUUUGAGAACAUGCCCUUGCUGGGUAGUUACUCAGCAUCAUUUUAUGAUGAGAUUAGUGGAUUACAGAUCUGUGGCUAUAAGCCCACUUCACCAUUUCCUUUUUCAGAGAUUCUUUUCUAAAUUAUUACUGUGCAUGGGUGUGUACCUGGGUGUGGGGGAGGCAGGGUAAGGGUACCAGUGUGUGGGGGGGGGGGUCAGCAGACAACGCUCCGGAUUUGGAUAUCUCCAGCCACACUGUGGGAUCCAGGGAUCACUCUCAGGUCACCAGGACCACAUCAUGGAACCUAAUACUAAGAGGAGAGAUGACCAAUAUAGUCCAAAGAGAAUAAACACAGUGAGAUACAGAGCAGCACCAGCCCUUUGUAGAAGGAAGAGCAUCUGCACUGCUGGGAACAGGGCUUUCCAACUUCCUGACUGUGUGAUCCAAGAUCAAAGCACUUCUCACCCGUCAUCAGAGAUGUUUCUUGAAGCAGAUGGGAG